GUUGGCGUGGGUCUAUAUCUGGUAUACGCCCCUAGUUAAUGCGUUUAUUUACGACAGUGGCAUGAUUGAGAAACAAGAGUGUCCAUUUCUUCCAUUCAUCGGCUGACGUGGCGUAAUUGUAGCCACUUAUUUUCAGUCAACAAUUCUGUUUGACUUAACCAUCCUCUCCCGUUAACGUUAAGUUGUGGGAGAGAGAAAAAAAAAAAAGGGUAAAUUUGACCAAAUUUGAGAGGUAGGAAGUAGGGGUGUUACUUCGAAACCGAAAACCGAAAAAAACCGCACCGAAAACUAAACCGUAGUCGGAAAAACCGCACCAAAAAAAAACCGCACCGAAAAAAAAAACCGGGCCGAACCAGAUAUGUUCGGUUCGGUUUUCGGUUUCGGCCUAGUCAAAACCGAACUGAACCGUUCGAACCGAAGUCAACGGUCAAACAGUAAAACGACGUCGUUUAAAAAAAAAAAAAAAAAACCCUAAGUCUCUAUCUCACUCUCAAUCUCUCUUCUCUCACGCAGUCACGCAAAUUUUUCCAGACUUCCAGAGUCUCUGUCUCACUCUCACUCUCCAGACGUUCCUUAGUCUCUGUCUUUCUGUUUCACUCUUUCUCAGUCCCGAGUCCCCUCUUUCUUCUCCCCUCUCGCCGGACUCUCCCUCUUCUCCCCUCUCGCCGGACUCUCCCUCUUCUCUCCUCUCGCCGGUCCGCCCUUUCAACCUGCGCCAGUCCGCCACCUCAGCCACCUGCGCCAGUUCGCCACAUGCGCCAGUCUCCCCUCUUGCCGGACUUUGAAGUUUGAAGGGUAAGAGACUAAGAGGGUCACUGUUGCUGCAAAUAUGCAAGUUUGAAGGGCCCUGUCACCACUCGACUCUCACUGUUUUUGUAAUUGAUGAUCUUUGAAAUAUGUUGUUUUGGUUUGUGUAUUGGGGUUAGUAUUUAGUGGAAUUGAUGAAAGUGACUGAAUUGGUUUGUGUAUUGGUUUGUGUAUAGGUUGUUCUUGUUUUUUUUCCCUGUUAUGCAUUGACUGAAUUGGUGUAAUAGGUUGUUCUUGAACUCUAUAUUUCCCUGUUGAGUUGUGUUGUUGGUUGAUGAACAACUUUCAUAAUGUUGUAACUUGUUAUUGCAGACUGCAUUCCCUUUCACAAUGAAGAGGGUUAGAUUGAACUCAUCAAAGGCAGUGAAGCGCGGUUCCUCAACGUCCAUUGACUCAGNNNNN
rnacentral:lncRNA from 1 species